ACUAAACGGAAUGUUCAUUUAUAAUCGUUCAACACUAACUGUUUGUUGCUGAUAGUUCGCCUCGAACGUCUGCUACCUUGAACGCACAUCAGAUGCAGUCCGUCUACAACCGGCUCAGUCAGAGACCAGACAGAAACUCCAUUGGACACAGCCAUUGAGGCUCCGCUGCAUUUACCGUUCCGAGUCUAAACAACAAACUACACGCAAGACAACCGGAUGGGUAACUCCAAUCCUGGAGGGCCGGUGCGGAUGCAGGAUUUUGCUGCCACCAAUUACCCUGGCUCAGUCAGCGAAUUAGCCAUAUGUGCCAUGACCGAUUCACUCGUUGUUGUUGAUGUUCUGCUUCAGUACUCGAGAUGAGGUAAAUAAUGUAUGGAGGAUUUUUAAAAAUGAGCCCUGGGAGAAAAAAACAUGUGGGUAUUUAUUCAGAUGAUUAAGUCUCCCAGAAAUGUAUAAUAUAA